CCUUACUCUUCAUCCUAACUAACCCUCAUCAUGUCACUCGCCUCCUCCCAAUUCCUCGCUCAACGCAUCGUGCCUCCUCGCCGUUCCUCCGCUGCAUCUUUUUCUCCACCGUCCCCCUUGUCGAUCCGCUCUCUCGAUGUCUUCGUUGCAUACUCCGCCACGACCGACCGCUCGCACGCUGACCCGGCCACCGUCGCCUUCUCCCCCUCGUCCCCUUACUCUUCCUCCCUCUACGACGUGCUCGGCGUGUCCCCUACCGCCAGUCCCCCCGAGAUCAAGGCUGCUUACCGGAGUCUCGCCCUCAAGUGCCAUCCGGAUGUAGUCGCCACCGGCCGCCGGGGUGCGUCCGCCGACGAGUUCAUGCGAGUUCACGCGGCUUACUCCACCCUCUCGGACCCCGAAAAACGGGCAGACUACGAUCGCCGGCUUACCGACUCGGCAGCGUUGCUAGUCCGCGGACGCCGUCAAGCGUACGCCCGGAGCACUUCGUUCCCCGGCCACAGUCGCCGGACGUGGGAGACGGAUCAGUGCUGAUUGGAGCUCGGAGUCAGCAUGAUCCAGAGCUUCCACCGCCGCAACGACUGAACUUGCUGUUUCUAGAAGUUUCAGGUUUCAGCUUAACCUGAGAUGAAUUUUCUUCUGCCUUGAAUGCCUUUCUUUGUUGUUCUUGGACCAUGUCAAAGCUUCAAAGUAGUGUUGCAUUAUUUUGAUUUGUUACUCCAGAUCUCCGAAAGUUCAAACAUAUCCUUUUUACACGUAAAAGAUUGAAUGCAAGUCUAAAGAUUUAUUUUAUUUAUUUGCUUGCCAACAAGGAAGAAGCAAAGAAGGAAAGUGAUAUCUGCAAUAAUUGGUCUCUGGUUUUCCAAAAAGAGGAACGGUGGUGGAAACUUCAUGGAUUUUUAUUUUAUUCAUGGACUGCGUGCCUGGAAAAAUGCCAUUUUACCUUCUGAAAGAACGGUCACAGAGCCAGAGUCUCCAUCAAUGCUGUGGCAAUAAAUCUAGAAGGCCAAAGAAAAAAGGCAAUAAAAAUAGACUCUUAAGUCUCACCUGCACUGGAGAAAAAAUUGGCAAUGCAAUGCUUCUUUAAAUUAUUGUACUUGAAUUGAUUGAUGCUGCUGUGGAUAUUCACUACUAUUUAGUGAGGAAGCCAUCAACAUCUGAUAACGAUUUUUGUGCGCAUAUCAUGCGCACUUGAUUUCUUGAUUACAUCGAUUCUUUCAUGGACGCCACUUGCUUGGUGCAACUGUGCGAGUGGGGACAAGGGUAUGAAAAAGGAAUGCAAUAAUGGAGGUGGAUAAUGAAGAGGCAAUUGGAUCAGAGAUUUCAGUUUAGACACCACUGUGUAUAAGUUUAUUUGUUGACUUGGAAUUAUUAUGUUUGGAAUUUGUUUCGAUUAAAAUGUCCGAGUAGUUAAAUGAUUUAUCUGCUCGAUUGAAUC